AAUAUGGUCAAGAUACCAAGGGUGUAUGGUGAAUGCCUAGGUGCUAGAAGUCUAUGAAGGACGUGGUUAGCUGCGAUAAGCCUCGGGGAGCUGCAAACAAGCUUUGAUCCGAGGAUUUCCGAAUCGGGAAACCGACCUGGCCGAAAGGCCUGCGUAUCACGUCGUAAAGUUCCGGACGUCAGUUCGGGAGAUAGCGGCGUGAAGACAACCCGGGGAAGUGAAACAUCUCAGUACCCGGAGGAAGAGAAAUCAAACGAGAUUCCCCUAGUAGUGGCGAGCGAACGGGGAAUAGCCCAAACCGAGACGGCAUGCCGUUUCGGGGUUGCAGGGCUUGUCCGGUGUAGAACCGGGGAGUGAGCAAUCGUCGGAUAGGAAAACGGUCCUGGAAAGGCCGGCCAGAGCGGGUGAUAGCCCCGUAUCCGAAAUCUAGACGACUCCCGACAAGUUCCUAAGUACCACGGGACACGUGAAAUCCCGUGGGAAUCCGGGGGGACCACCCUCCAAGGCUAAAUACUCUCUAGCGACCGAUAGUGCACAAGUACCGCGAGGGAAAGGCGAAAAGAACCCCUGAUGGGGAGUGAAAUAGAACCUGAAACCGUACACCUACAAGCUCUACGAGGCCUAUGGCAAACUUCGGUUUGCAACGGCUGAGUAGGUGCCUGUUGAAGAAUGACCCGGCGAGUUACUGGGUGGAGCAAGGUUAAGGGAUGCGUGAAAGCGUAUUCCGCAGCCGUAGCGAAAGCGAGUCUGAAAGGGCGAUAGUUCCAUCUAGUAGACCCGAAGCCAAGUGAUCUAACCAUGGCCAGAGUGAAGUCGGGGUAAAACCCGAUGGAGGCUCGAAGUGUUAAACGUUGAAAAGUUUCUACAUGAGCUGUGGUUAGGGGUGAAAGGCUAAUCGAACUUGGUGAUAGCUGGUUCUCUCCGAAAUAGCUUUAGGGCUAGCGUCCACCGUUAAACCGCGGGGGUAGAGCACUGGUAAAUGUAGGCGAGGCAACCCCUUGUCCGAAGUUUGUCAAACUCCGAAUACCGCGGCGUAUUAGUGGGCAGUCAGUUCGUGGGGGAUAAGCUCCACGUGCGAGAGGGGAACAACCCAGAACGUCGAUCUAGGUCCCAAAGUGUAUGCUAAGUGGAAAACACUGUGGAUUUGCAUAAACAGCCAGGAGGUUGGCUUAGAAGCAGCCACCCUUUAAAGAGUGCGUAACAGCUCACUGGUCUAGCGAGUCUGCGCGGAAAAUGACACGGGGCUCAAGCAUACCACCGGAAUCACGUCUGCUGUAGAUCCUUCGGGAUUUAUAGUGGGGUAGGAGAGCGUUCUUGAUGCAGCGAAGGCAUACCGUAAGGAGUGCUGGAGCGUCAAGAAGCGAGGAUGUCGGGAUAAGUAGCGAGAAACAAUGUGAGAAUCAUUGUCGCCGAAAACCUAAGGUUUCCUAGCACAAUGUUCGUCAGUGCAGGGUUAGUCGGGCCUAAGCCGAGGCCGAAAGGCGUAGGUGAUGGACAUCCGGUUAAUAUUCCGGAACUAGGUUAUGGGCGUCAGGAUGAGUGGUGACGCAGAAGGGUAAUCGAUCCCGUCUGAAGGAUGGCGGGCUAAAGCCGUAGGCGUGCUCUUCCAGGCAAAAUCCGGAGGGGCGUUAAGCUGAAAGCUGAUGGCGAGUUCCGGGCGACCGGAGCGAAGUCGACCAACCACGCUGCCAAGAAAAACCGCGCAUACUGCCCAUAGUCUACCCGUACCGUAAACCGACACAGGUGGGUGGGGUGAAAAUCCUAAGGCGCGCGAGUGAGACUUGGUUAAGGAACUAGGCAAAAUAAUCCCGUAACUUCGGAAGAAGGGAUGCUCCCCGCAAGGGGAGUCGCAGUGAAUUGGGCAUCGUGACUGUUUAACAAAAACACAGGACUCUGCUGAAAUCGCAAGAUGAGGUAUAGGGUCUGACUCCUGCCCGGUGCUGGAAGGUCAAGGGGAGUGGUUAGCCGCAAGGCGAAGCUACGAACUCAAGCCCCAGUAAACGGCGGCGGUAACUAUAACCGUCCUAAGGUAGCGAAAUUCCUUGUCGGGUAAGUUCCGACCUGCACGAAUGGAGUAACAAAGAUGCCGCUGUCUCAACCAAGUGCUCGGCGAAAUUGUGGUACGAGUGAAGACGCUCGUUACGCGUGGUUAGACGAAAAGACCCCGUGGAGCUUUACUGUAACUUGUCAUUGUGUUAUGGAUUUAAAUGCGUAGAAUAGCUGGGAGCCUUUGAGACAAGGGUUGUGGCCCUUGUGGAGGCGCAAUGUGAAAUACCAGCCUUUCGAAUCCGUGACACUAACCUACGGCCAUUAUCUGGCCUAGGGACCGUGACAGGCGGGCAGUUUGACUGGGGCGGUCGCCUCCUAAACGGUAACGGAGGCGUUCCAAGGUUCGCUCAGGGCGCAUAGUAAUCGCCCAUCGAGUGCAUUGGCAGAAGCGAGCUUGACUGCAAGGCCUACAAGCCGGGCAGGGACGAAAGUCGGACAAAGUGAUCCGGUGGUACCUCGUGGGAGGGCCAUCGCUCAACGGAUAAAAGCUACCCCGGGGAUAACAGGCUGAUCUGGUCCAAGAGUUCACAUCGACGACCAGGUUUGGCACCUCGAUGUCGGCUCAUCGCAUCCUCCCGCUGGAGCAGGUGGGAAGGGUUGGGCUGUUCGCCCAUUAAAGCGGUACGUGAGCUGGGUUCAGUACGUCGUGAGACAGUACGGUCUCUAUCUACCAUGCGCGUUAGGAAGCUUGAAGGGAGCUGUCCCUAGUACGAGAGGACCGGGAUGGACGAACCUCCUGUAUGCCAGUUGUCACGCCAGUGGCAUCGCUGGGUAGCGGUGUUCGGUCGGGAUAAACGCUGAAAGCAUCUAAGCGUGAAACCCUCCUUAAGAUAAGGCUUCCCUAGGUCGCAAGACCUCUGAAGGACGCAGGAAGACUACCUGCUUGAUAGGCUGCGAGUGUAAGCGCCGCGAGGCGUUGAGCGAAGCAGUACUAAUCGUCCGUGAGUCUUGGCCGUAU
rnacentral:rRNA from 1 species